UAACAAGGAUUCCCCUAGUAACUGCGAGUGAAGCGGGAAAAGCUCAAAUUUAAAAUCUGGUGGCCUCGCCGCCCGAGUUGUAAUCUGGAGAAGUGCUUUCCGUGCCGGACCGUGUACAAGUCUCUUGGAACAGAGCGUCAUAGAGGGUGAGAAUCCCGUCUUUGACACGGACUGCCGGUGCUCUGUGAUGCGCUCUCGAAGAGUCGAGUUGUUUGGGAAUGCAGCUCAAAAUGGGUGGUAAAUUCCAUCUAAAGCUAAAUAUUGGCGAGAGACCGAUAGCGAACAAGUACCGUGAGGGAAAGAUGAAAAGAACUUUGGAAAGAGAGUUAAACAGUACGUGAAAUUGCUGAAAGGGAAACGCUUGAAGUCAGUCGCGUCGGCCAGGACUCAGCCUUGCUCUCGCUCGGUGUAUUUUCUGGUCGACGGGUCAGCAUCAGUUUCGAUCGCCGGAGAAUGGCCAGGGGAAUGUGGCAUCUUCGGAUGUGUUAUAGCCCUUGGUCGCAUACGGUGGUCGGGACUGAGGAUCUCGGCACCUCGUGCUAAGGAUGCUGGCAUAAUGGCUUUAAACGAC
rnacentral:rRNA from 1 species